rnacentral:lncRNA from 1 species
UAUAAAUUUCUACUGAUUUUCUUUAAAUUAUAUAAACUAGAAACAAAGUUCUCRAACUGACCCUCAACCUAGACUUCAAAUGCUGAGCAAUUUUUCUUAGAGGUUUCCACAGAAAUAGAUCUUCUGAAGGGAAGAGAAAGAAGAGUUAGAAGCUGUGAACCCUUUUACCUUUCAAAUAUGUGAAACAGCAUGGAGAAGACCUUAAGGUCCAGAAAACAGAACAAUGAAAAGUUCAAAAGGCUUUUGAAGGAGAGUGUGUUGCAUGGAAGGAGGCUCCUCAACUUGUCUAAAGAAGCAUCUCCAUUUGGAAGAUGAUUAC